rnacentral:misc_RNA from 1 species
AGGCAUGCAAGAAGCUCAACAGAAUUGAGCUCUCAGAUUGUGAAAUAUAUGCAUCUUGCGAGCCAUGUCCAAUGUGCUUUGGUGCCAUCCCUCUUUCAAGAAUUAAGAUGCUUUACGAGGAACUGGGUAUUAUCAGAAGGCUAAUUUGGAGAUAAAGAAAGCUGACGUAAGUGGUGCUGUUAUUGCAGAACAAGUAUUUGAGAAGACAAAAGUCCAAGUUUACCAUGUACUGAUUGUUGAUCGUAUAGAAAUUUAUGGAUGCAUGCGCCAAAAUUGGUCAUCUUCUUUAUCAUAAAAUGCCAAACAAGUGUGCAUCACAGUCCCCUUCUAUCAACAUUUGAGAAAAUCUUGGGUUUUCUCUUGGUACUCGUGCAAGUAGCAAGCAUUCACGUAAAAGGAUAUUCACCUAACUGGAGAACAUAGAAUAGCUUCAAUCAUGUUAUCAAUUGACACAGUGUAGAAACUGUGGGUUAAUAAUUUAGGACAACAUGCGGCUGUUCUCAGUAAAAUGUACACAUCCAACAAAAUGAGUAUAAAAAUACAAAUAUUGUUUUACCUUUAUUCCCCUCCAUUGUGGGGAUUCUUGUAGUGAUUUUUCUCCUCAAAACCCUCGUAUAGAAACCAUACUAACAAGUAUAGCCAACUAGGAAACAAGUUCAACAGGUGUACAGAUUCUUACAGUAGUCAUGGGAGCAAGAGAAGAAAAAGAACCAAGGAAGGAUGAGGAAGGGGUAAAACAACAAAGCAGAGAAGGGACGGACAAUGAAAGCUUUGUACCUUAUUACACCAUUCACAGCUGUGAAUAUAGAACCAUACUAACAAAUUCUAAUGGCAAAAUUUGUUUUAUACAAAUAAAUAAAGGGUGUUGCUGUCUCCAGAGAUCAUAUUCAAUCAUAGAACCCUUUGUUCUUUUCUUUGAAAUCCAGUUCUGCGUCAAAUCUUGUAGACUCAACUGAAGAAGCACAAAAUUAUGAAGACAUUUUCAUUUGAAUUUGCCGAUGGACAUGCACCAGAAACUCAACAUAAGAAAGACCACCAGUUGGAACUUUGUCUUCGAUCAAACACGAAAAAAAUGAGAGUCCUGAGUACGGAAGUAAUGGUCAAACUUUAUCAAUUCAAUCAACACAUUAUAUGCACACCCUUAGUGUUCAAAAUAGAAUGAUGUAUAUACUAUGAAAAACACUGUGAUGCAGCACAGAUGAAAUUUCUCAAGCCUCUUAGCUGAUGUAUUUUUUCUGGUUUGUACUGGACUCCAAUUAUUCAGGUUUAACAGUCAAGCCAGAUUAACAGAAACAAUGUAAAAGCUGUUACCACCUAUAAACCCUCCAUUCCUGGGGCACUUCUAAGCAAAGGGGAUAAAUGUAACUGCGAAUGUCCCCUGUUCCUACUUAUAAAAGGAAAACUAAAGCAACUCUAAAUAAACACUCGUUAGUUUGUCCUUCACAGUAAAAACACAUGCGACUCUCUGUGGAUGUGGGCACAUCACUGAAUCAUUUUUCUAAUUUGCAAGUGUGCAUGGGUAUUCCAACAUCAGCAGUUGGAAGAAAAGGAGAAGAAACUAACUUACAAUUCAAGACUAUUAAUGUAUAGUCACAGAAAAGGAUCAUCAAUGUUUAAAAUGCAAUGGUCCAAUUUCAAACAACAUUUAUAAAUAUAUAUAUAAAAAUACAUAAAGACAGCUAGUUGUAUCUGAAAUAAUAGCGUGGAAGGUCCAAUUUUCAGAGAAAGGCAAACCUCAGUAAAUGGAUGUGCAGUUACUUUUUGACAGGGCAAAUAACUAAUGUAAUAGAUAUUUGCCCUCCUUUAAGACGUAAUUAUGUGAAUGAGGGAAAGAACAAAAAGGAUUAUGUUAGUUAUGUGAAGGGGAAUGAUCUGGUCUGUUUUGGUUUAUUCUAACAUGAGACAAUUGUCUAGCAUAACAAUCAUUCCCUAAUGUAUACAAGGGAAGUUCCAAGAAACAGACCUGAUGGAUCUCCUUUCUUGCACAAUUUUAAGCGCAGGUAAGAACAUCUUCGUCGCCGUAUCUCAUUUAUCACAUCAUUUAACUUCUUUGAUAGUGGAUUCUCAUAUUGCUGCAGGACAAACUGAGGACGAAAAAAGAUUAAUUGCAAAAUUAAGGGGAAAAAACUUUUGAAUAAAACUGCUAAUAUGGCUCUGUAAAUAACAAAUUACACAAGAACAUAUCUAGUUGUCAAGAUACUUGGCAGCAUCACAUACUACACCCAUUUUGCAGCACAUAAUAAAGCAAAAUCCAUAAAGUAAUAUUGGACUAACCAAAGCCUCACAUAUGAGGAUCGGAUACAACAUUUUUCAAAAUAGACUUGACAAUAAGAACUUCAGAAAGGAAGAAUUUAAAUCACCUGAGUCGGGAUUUCAUCAACAGACAAAAUUCCAAACAGUUGAUGCAAGAUUUUUGAAUCAACUGAGCUGCCAACGUAUAUUAAACCUUCUUGACCAUUCUCAAGGAGAUAGAUUCCAUCAUCACUCACAUGUUCACUAGAAAGAGGGAGUGCAGGUGGAAUAGGAGAUUCAUUUCCUUCCUUUGUAUCAAGAUCAUGGAGAGCAAUCAUCCUUGGGUGUACUAAUGGAAUUGCUAAAGGGGUAGAAACUGAGGAAACAUAAGUAAUCCAAAAGGACCGAUCAUCUACUCUCCCAUCAAUUCGCAGUCCUGUGCUUUUAACCAAUGCAAGGGUGUAUAAAGGUAGAAGUUUAAGUGCUUCCGGAAGAAUAAGUUGUCCUGAUGAUGAUACAGUUGCACAAAAUUUACGAUAUGAAAGCAGAAUGUUUAUACAAAAGUUUGUAACUUGUUCUCGGACAUUCAAUGGCGGGGUAGAAGGAAUUUCAUUUGCCGCUACAAAGGAAAUGCAACAAAGAAAAUAGUCAGUCUUCAUCAAACAAAAACUAUAAUGAUAACAUUAACUCUAAAAGCUUCAAGAAGAGAAUAGCACAACCAUAAUGGAGAUAGCACAGAAGGCUAAUGUGUGACUGGAAAGCAUAUCAUAUUCACAUUUAUAAGCCUUUAUAUGCAAAUGACAAAUGAUUGGUGGAAUUCAGUGAGUGAAAAAUAUGCAAAAUAGAACCACUGGGCAGUAAAACGAAGACAAAAAGAAAAAAGAAAAUAAAUGAUACAUACCUUGCUUCAAAAAGCAUACAAAUUGAGUGUCCAAGUCAGCCAUGCGGAACAAAUUACUUAAAUUAUUUGUGCAUGGCAAUGAUAAAGUUGUAACACGAAUUCUUCUUUGGCCGUAUACCGUGGUGUAAAGAAGGGCACACUGAACAAGUGAGUAAACAGUAUAAACAGAAGCUUCCAAAAAUUAUCUUCUCUAAAAUACAUUAUAGGACAAAUUACAUCAUUAUCCCUACAAAUUUCACCAUUGUAACAACAGAACUUUGAUUUUCUAAUUGCAGCAAUUAAAAACUUAAACUUCCAUUUGCAUUGCAACGUUAGGUCAUUGUUGAUUGAUGCUUAAUUGAGAUUGAGUGGGACAAAAAGUAACGUAAAGAGCAUAAAAUUGCAACUGCUGCAAUUAGAGAAUCAGAAUUCAAGUUUUAAAACAGGAAUCAACAAGUAAAUGGGCCACAGAAGGAUUUAAAACUUCAUCAAAUACGAGAAAUCUGAUAAACCUGAAAGGCACACUCUGAGCCAUCCUGCAAUUUAUCAUCAUGUUUCAAUGUCACCAUUAUAGUUUUAUCACAAUCAAUCUGUAAGGAAAGAAGCGAUUAUUUACAAGUAGAACAAAUUAGGAAGUAAACAAAGUAAAUGUGCGUAAUGACUAAACUAAAAGAAAUUACAAGUGAACAGCAACAAUAGAACAAUAGUAAAUAGGAUAUAUGUGAACAAUAAGCUUCUAAGAGAUCAAAAAGAAAUGUCCCAAAUGAAUUUCUAGCCACCAAGUAGCUUAUACAGGGAAGAAGUUUCUGGUCACUUUUCAGGUUCAAGAACAAUGCAUUGUGAAUAUGAUUUUAAAUUAGUCUGAUCCUCAAAUUUAAAGAACAAAGCAGUUGUGAAAUCACCCAAAGAUGAUGAAUUAAGAGAGCUUUACCACUCAACUCAAUACUAUCAAGUUAAGCAUUAAUUGGUAACACAAUAAAAUCACGUAUUUCGUGAGGAAUACAAACCCCAGGCAGAUCAACAUCUGUUGGAAUGCGCUUACAAAAGUUUCCAUAGUAUUGUUGAACUUGAAUACCCUGGCUGCAUCUCACACGCAUCACUGCCUCAAAACCUUGAGGCCUUGUGACAUUCCAUCUAAGAUCAUUGUAAAGCUUUGCAGGAUCAGAAAGAGCCGAGAAGGGAUAAUAAUAAUAAACCUGUCCUCCAGUUGUUUUUGGGAUGACAGAGAUAGACGCAAUGUCCACAUAUGUCUGGGUAGUGAUAAAUACAUCAACACAGACCUGAUACUCAGCAAAUUCAAUUGCCAUUUCCUUCAAAGUUUUGUCUGCUGGUUGAAGUAAUUUGUGGGCCUCCUUCUCCCCAGAAGAAACGUUACUUCUUCCCUCAGCUUCUCUAGCAGAAAGAGCUCCAAUGCCAACUGAUGGCAACACUGAUUGAAAUACCAAAAGCUUUCCACCAGUGCUCUUCAUUGCCAAAAAGACUGCCUUGACAGCAGCACCAAAUGCAGAUUCAGCUGUUCUACUAUUCUGAAACAUGGUUGGGAUGCUUUCCAACAAUAGCUCUAAAUGUUGACGACACUCAGAAAGAGGAACAAUAACAUCAGUUUGCAGAGGAGUAUAGACAUCUUGUAUAUCAGGAACAAUAAGCAUCAAUGGCUGCUGUAAUGCACGUUUCAAAUUGUAAAAAUGGAUUGUAGAAUCAAAUGUUGCAAUUCCCACCAUCGUCCUAGGUCCUUCCGGAAGAUCUGCAAUAACUUGAUUGAUUGAACUGCAAGCCGCAGCAGUUGCACCAGUUUGUAUUGCAUUCAUGGAUACAUCAAUAAGGAAGAAAUACACCGCUGGCAUCGGAUCACGCACCAUAUACUCUUUCGUGGCAACAAAUUCAACAGUUCCCCUGCAUAGCUCGGGCCUUUCAUCAGCAUCCCUGCGCCUACCAUCUGGCCCCAGAUUGCAGUGAUAAUCACGGGGAGUCUCAUCAGUAAAACCGCACAAAUUACAGAUGAACCGCCUUCCUUGAUCAAUGAACUUCAUGAAAGGAUUUAUGUAGCCUUUGCAACGAGAACAGCGAACAGGACCACUUUCUCCAAAAUCCACAAGCUGAAUGGGCUCCUCAGAUGGAUGAGGAAGGGCCAAAGGUUGGACUAACAAAGCCAGCUGCAUACCAGAUGUUGUCAAAAGAUCAACAGUGCAUGGGACCUGAUUGAUUGUGCACCUCAUGUAGCGUGGACUGCAAUUCCCAGUGUCCCUAGCAAUGUAAUCACUUGUAGCAGGCUUUAGAGCAACACAAAUAAUUAGAUGAGGAAAUGACAAAUAAUGAUUCAGAUAAAUAACUUUGCCACAAUAUGUGAAAAUGCAAGCAAAUUUGAGGGGAAAAAAAUGAGAAAAGACCACGACAAAUCAUGCAGGAUUAAAUACCGGAGGUGGAUUAGCUUGAUUGCCCUGGCGAGUAUCAUGCAGGAUCACAGAGGAACCUGGUAUGGGUCGUGGAAUUUGAUUGGGAUCAAUCUUUGAUGAUCCUGCCAAAGAACCUCCUGUUUGUCCAACAACUGGAGAUAUAGCAGUCAUUUGAUUUGGUAGUGGUGGAGGUGGUGGCAUUCCAAACAUUGUAGGAGGUGCAGAACCAGGAAUUGGAGGUGGAGCCACUGGCUGGGUUUGCGUCUGUUGCCCAAAAGGAAAACCUGCUGGUGGUGACAUCCCCUGAGGUGGUGCAGAAAAUGAUGGCAUCCCUUGCGGUGGUGCUGAAUAUGAUGGUGCCCCUUGUGGUGCUGCUGAAAAUGGAGAUCGCUGUUGAGCACUGAUCCCAGAACUCCCCAUUAAGGGACGCAUGCUUGGUGCUUGAGGAAGUACCCGAGCUGCCCCAGCUGUUGGAGGACCCAUCAGUGGGGGUUGAGGGGCAGCGCCAGAUGGAGGAAACCGUGGCCCUCCAUGGAAAGGUGGUGCAUGUGGCCCGUUACUGACUAAACCACCUGAUGAGACUGAAGGGGUUACAGAUGAAGGUGUAGUGGAAGAUGCAAUUGGACUUGGGUGAGCACCCAGGCGUGGUGCAAGUGAUCCAUAAGAUGGUGCCCCAGAGGAAGGGCCCAUAACUACACCACUUCCUGCAGAAGGCAAUGACGCAGGAGGUGGUCUGGACCCAAAAGGGGAAGGCUGGCUAAAAGGCGGGCCCGUGGGUCUGACUGUACCCACAUUUGGGGGCAAUGCAGGUGGUGGGGACCCUGAGGGAGGCACCGAGGGUCUAGGGAAUGCACCAGGAGGCGGUGGACCAGGGCGGGAAAAUGAUGGCGAAGGGGCUGAGGAAGGAAAAUGUGGCGGUUGAAAUGGUGACGGCCUAGGAGCCGAAUUGGGCAUGGAAGGGGGCCGAUUAAGGUUCAGAUUUUGCAAAUUAUCAGAUAAUGAACUGGGAUUCUGCUGGUAAUUAGGGUUAUAAUUAGGUGGUGGUGGUGGUUGUUGCCGAGGUGCCCCUGGAGGCACAGGAGCUGCCAUUUUCCAAUAAAAUGGCCCAAAAUCUCAACUCACUUAAUCUUUCAGUAAUCACGCCCAGAAUAUCUAUCUUCCAAAAAUCUCCAAUGAACAAGAUACACUCUAAAUCUAGACAUCAACGAAUAAAACUUACUGUGUAAAUCAAAAGUAAUUAAACCAAAAAUUCCAUAUUCACAAGAUGCAAAUAUUCAAUCAAAUUGAACAAUAACGGAAUCAAUCAACCAAAAACCUGCACAGAUGAAUGAAGCAGCUAUAUGAAGGAUCAAAGGAGACUGGAUCUGUGAGUGAUUGAUCUGAGAACUUAAUCCAAUAGAAUUUUGAUUAGGGUUUUGGAUACAGAGUUUAAUAGGAUUAUAAAUUAGGGUUUUGGAUCAGAGAAAGAUCCGAUGGGUGGUGGGUCUGAGAGAGAGAGAGUUGAGAAGAAAGGUCUGAAAAAUUUUUUCUUUUCUUUUUAACAAUUUUUUU